rnacentral:rRNA from 1 species
CACGGGUGAGUAACACGUAUCCAACCUGCCCUUUACUCGGGGAUAGCCUUUCGAAAGAAAGAUUAAUACCCGAUGGCAUAAUGAUUCCGCAUGGUUUNAUUAUUAAAGGAUUCCGGUAAAGGAUGGGGAUGCGUUCCAUUAGGUUGUUGGUGAGGUAACGGCCCACCAAGCCUUCGAUGGAUAGGGGUUCUGAGAGGAAGGUCCCCCACAUUGGAACUGAGACACGGUCCAAACUCCUACGGGAGGCAGCAGUGAGGAAUAUUGGUCAAUGGGCGCGAGCCUGAACCAGCCAAGUAGCGUGANGGAUGACUGCCCUAUGGGU